rnacentral:rRNA from 1 species
AUUGAACGCUGGCGGCAGGCUUAACACAUGCAAGUCGAGCGGUAGCACAGGGGAGCUUGCUCCCUGGGUGACGAGCGGCGGACGGGUGAGUAAUGUCUGGGAAACUGCCUGAUGGAGGGGGAUAACUACUGGAAACGGUAGCUAAUACCGCAUAACGUCGCAAGACCAAAGAGGGGGACCUUCGGGCCUCUUGCCAUCAGAUGUGCCCAGAUGGGAUUAGCUAGUAGGUGGGGUAAUGGCUCACCUAGGCGACGAUCCCUAGCUGGUCUGAGAGGAUGACCAGCCACACUGGAACUGAGACACGGUCCAGACUCCUACGGGAGGCAGCAGUGGGGAAUAUUGCACAAUGGGCGCAAGCCUGAUGCAGCCAUGCCGCGUGUGUGAAGAAGGCCUUCGGGUUGUAAAGCACUUUCAGCGAGGAGGAAGGUGGUGAACUUAAUACGUUCAUCAAUUGACGUUACUCGCAGAAGAAGCACCGGCUAACUCCGUGCCAGCAGCCGCGGUAAUACGGAGGGUGCAAGCGUUAAUCGGAAUUACUGGGCGUAAAGCGCACGCAGGCGGUUUGUUAAGUCAGAUGUGAAAUCCCCGGGGCUCAACCUGGGAACUGCAUUUGAAACUGGCAAGCUAGAGUCUCGUAGAGGGGGGUAGAAUUCCAGGUGUAGCGGUGAAAUGCGUAGAGAUCUGGAGGAAUACCGGUGGCGAAGGCGGCCCCCUGGACGAAGGCUGACGUUCAGGUGCGAAAGCGUGGGGAGCAAACAGGAUUAGAUACCCUGGUAGUCCACGCUGUAAACGAUGUCGAUUUGGAGGUUGUGCCCUUGAGGCGUGGCUUCCGGAGCUAACGCGUUAAAUCGACCGCCUGGGGAGUACGGCCGCAAGGUUAAAACUCAAAUGAAUUGACGGGGGCCCGCACAAGCGGUGGAGCAUGUGGUUUAAUUCGAUGCAACGCGAAGAACCUUACCUACUCUUGACAUCCAGAGAACUUUCCAGAGAUGGAUUGGUGCCUUCGGGAACUCUGAGACAGGUGCUGCAUGGCUGUCGUCAGCUCGUGUUGUGAAAUGUUGGGUUAAGUCCCGCAACGAGCGCAACCCUUAUCCUUUGUUGCCAGCGGUUCGGCCGGGAACUCAAAGGAGACUGCCAGUGAUAAACUGGAGGAAGGUGGGGAUGACGUCAAGUCGUCAUGGCCCUUACGAGUAGGGCUACACACGUGCUACAAUGGCAUAUACAAAGAGAAGCGACCUCGCGAGAGCAAGCGGACCUCAUAAAGUAUGUCGUAGUCCGGAUUGGAGUCUGCAACUCGACUCCAUGAAGUCGGAAUCGCUAGUAAUCGUAGAUCAGAAUGCUACGGUGAAUACGUUCCCGGGCCU